CGCGGGUGAGUAACACGUAUCCAACCUGCCGUCUACUCUUGGACAGCCUUCUGAAAGGAAGAUUAAUACAAGAUGGCAUCAUGAGUCCGCAUGUUCACAUGAUUAAAGGUAUUCCGGUAGACGAUGGGGAUGCGUUCCAUUAGAUAGUAGGCGGGGUAACGGCCCACCUAGUCUUCGAUGGAUAGGGGUUCUGAGAGGAAGGUCCCCCACAUUGGAACUGAGACACGGUCCAA
rnacentral:rRNA from 1 species